rnacentral:rRNA from 1 species
AUGGAGCCGCAUGCCGAGUCCAAGCCCAUCCCGCUGAUGACGCCGUACAAGAUGGGCUCCUCGCUCGACCUCGCCCACCGGGUGGUGCUGGCGCCGCUGACGCGGCAGCGCUCCUACGGCAACGUGCCGCAGCCGCACGCCGCCGUCUACUACGGCCCCGUCGUCGACGCCGUGCACGCCAAGGGCGCCCUCUUCUUCUGCCAGCUCUGGCACGUCGGCCGCGUCUCGUCCUACGGCUUCCAGCCCGGCGGCGCCGCGCCCGUGUCCAGCACCCAGAGGAUGGUCGGCCCGCAGGUCAGGCACGACGGCACCACCGAGGAGUUCUCGCCGCCCAGGAGGCUGGCCGUGGAGGAGAUCCCCAUGAUCGUCGACGACUUCAGGAAAGCUGCACGGAACGCCAUCAACGCCGGCUUCGACGGCGUGGAGAUCCACGGCGGCAACGGGUACCUCAUCGAGCAGUUCCUCAAGGACAGUGCCAACGACCGGGACGACGGCUAUGGCGGCAGCCUGGAGAACCGGUGCCGCUUCGCGCUGGAGGUGGUGGACGCCGUCGCCAAGGAGGUGGGCGCCCACCGUGUGGGUAUCCGCCUCUCGCCCUUCAUGGACUACAUGGACUGCCACGACUCCGACCCGCACGCGCUCGGUCUCCACAUGGCCACGAAGCUCAACGACCACGGCAUCCUCUACCUCCACAUGAUUGAGCCCCGGAUGGCCCUCGUUGACGGCCGGCGGGUGGUCCCGCACCGACUACUUCCCUACAGGGAGGCCUUCAAGGGCACCUUUAUUGCGAAUGGCGGGUACGACCGGGAGGAUGGGGACAAGGCGGUCGCAUCGGGGUACGCCGACCUCGUCUCGUUUGGGCGGCUAUUCCUGGCAAACCCAGACCUGCCCAAGAGGCUAGAGCUCAACGCGCCGCUUAACAAGUACAAUAGGAUGACGUUCUACAUCUCCGAUCCCGUCGUCGGCUACACCGACUACCCGUUUCUUCCUUGA